UGAUCCAUAGUGUAACUGGCAGCACCCGGGAUUUUGGUUCCCGGAGUUCAGGUUCGAACCCUGAUGGAUUAA
rnacentral:tRNA from 1 species